CCCUAGUUUGGUUAGAUGUUAUUUCCCUUAAGUAAGAAUGGUUUUGGAAUGUUUUUGGGUGAAAAAAAAAAAGUUCAUGGAAAAAUUUGGGUUUUUCAUGGAUGUUCUUCAUUGUUCUUGAUGUUCUUGCCAAGAACAAAAAGGUUUGGUGUUUUGAUUCAAAGUUUUGAUUUAUUUCAUAAAGUUUAUGAUAUAUGUUUUUCAAAUGAUUUAUCAUGUAUUU
rnacentral:lncRNA from 1 species